rnacentral:lncRNA from 1 species
CUAUGGCACAGGCAUCAGGACAAGCAACAAUGCUGUUCUAGCUUCCGCUAUGCAGGAGCUUUCAGCUCAUUCCAUUGGCAAUGCUUUGCACCAUCACUGGCGAGUGGAACGAGGACAUGGGACCCCGCGAAAA